ensembl:rRNA 5S_rRNA 5S ribosomal RNA
GCUUACGGCCACACUAGUUUGAGAACGCCCAAUCUCAUCUGACCUUUGAAGCUAAGCAAAUUCGGACUUGGAUAGUAUUGAGGUGGGACCCUACCUAGGAAUACCAGCUGCUGUAGGCU